CAGUAAGUAGUUUAAACAACAAAAUAUUAGUUUUGGAGACUAAAAAUACAAAAUGAGUUUUACUGAU
rnacentral:tRNA from 1 species